rnacentral:rRNA from 1 species
UACGUAGGGUGCAAGCGUUAUCCGGAAUUAUUGGGCGUAAAGCGCGUGUAGGCGGCUUUGCAAGUCGGGUGUGAAAGCCCUCAGCUUAACUGAGGAAGUGCGCCCGAAACUGCAGAGCUUGAGUACCGGAGAGGGUGGCGGAAUUCCCCAAGUAGAGGUGAAAUUCGUAGAUAUGGGGAGGAACACCGGUGGCGAAGGCGGCCACCUGGACGGAUACUGACGCUGAGACGCGAAAGCGUGGGUAGCAAACAGG